rnacentral:rRNA from 1 species
UACGUAGGGUGCGAGCGUUAAUCGGAAUUACUGGGCGUAAAGCGUGCGCAGGCGGUUCGUUGUGUCGGCGGUGAAAGCCCCGGGCUUAACCUGGGAAUGGCCGUUGAAACUGGCGAACUGGAGUGUGGCAGAGGGGGGUGGAAUUCCGCGUGUAGCAGUGAAAUGCGUAGAGAUGCGGAGGAACACCGAUGGCGAAGGCAGCACUCUGGGCCGGCACUGACGCUGAGGAGCGAAAGCGUGGGGAGCGAACAGG